UACAGAGGUCCCGAGCGUUGUUCGGAUUUAUUGGGCGUAAAGGGUGCGUAGGCGGCGGAGUAAGUUGGGUGUGAAAUCCCGGGGCUUAACCUCGGAAUGGCAUUCAAUACUGCUUCGCUUGAGUACUGGAGAGGAGGCUGGAAUUUACGGUGUAGCAGUGAAAUGCGUAGAUAUCGUAAGGAAGGCCGGUGGCGAAAGCGAGCCUCUGGACAGUUACUGACGCUGAUGCACGAAGGCCAGGGGAGCAAACGGG
rnacentral:rRNA from 1 species